UACGAAGGGGGCGAGCGUUGUUCGGAAUUACUGGGCGUAAAGGGUGCGCAGGCGGCGUCGCAAGUCAGGCGUGAAAUCCCCGGGCUUAACCUGGGAACUGCACUUGAAACUACGAUGCUGGAGUAUGGCAGAGGGAGGUGGAAUUCCACGUGUAGCGGUGAAAUGCGUAGAGAUGUGGAGGAACACCGAUGGCGAAGGCAGCCUCCUGGGCCAAUACUGACGCUCAUGCACGAAAGCGUGGGGAGCAAACAGG
rnacentral:rRNA from 1 species